GACGAACGCUGGCGGCGUGCCUAAUACAUGCAAGUCGAGCGCAGGAAACUGACGGAACUCUUCGGAGGGAAGGCAGUGGAAUGAGCGGCGGACGGGUGAGUAACACGUAAGGAACCUGCCUCAAGGAUUGGGAUAACUCCGAGAAAUCGGAGCUAAUACCGGAUAGUACAACGGACCGCAUGGUCCGCUGAUGAAAGGCGCUCCGGCGUCACCUUGAGAUGGCCUUGCGGUGCAGUAGCUAGUUGGUGGGGUAACGGCCCACCAAGGCGACGAUGCAUAGCCGACCUGAGAGGGUGAUCGGCCACACUGGGACUGAGACACGGCCCAGACUCCGACGGGAGGCAGCAGUAGGGAAUCUUCCACAAUGGACGAAAGUCUGAUGGAGCAACGCCGCGUGAGUGAUGAAGGUUUUCGGAUCGUAAAACUCUGUUGUAAGGGAAGAACACGUACGAGAGGAAAUGCUCGUACCUUGACGGUACCUUACGAGAAAGCCACGGCUAACUACGUGCCAGCCGCCGCAGUAA
rnacentral:rRNA from 1 species